rnacentral:rRNA from 1 species
UACGUAGGGUGCGAGCGUUGUCCGGAAUUACUGGGCGUAAAGAGCUCGUAGGUGGUUUGUCGCGUUGUUCGUGAAAACUCACAACUCAAUUGUGGGCGUGCGGGCGAUACGGGCAGACUGGAGUACUGGCAGGGGAGACUGGAAUUCCUGGUGUAGCGGUGAAAUGCGUAGAUAUCAGGAGGAACACCGGUGGCGAAGGCGGGUCUCUGGGCCGAUACUGACGCUGAGGAGCGAAAGCGUGGGGAGCGAACAGG